AUUGAACGCUGGCGGCAGGCUUAACACAUGCAAGUCGAGCGGAGCGAGGGUGCUUGCACCUUAGCUUAGCGGCGGACGGGUGAGUAAUGCUUAGGAAUCUGCCUAUUAGUGGGGGACAACAUUCCGAAAGGGAUGCUAAUACCGCAUACGCCCUACGGGGGAAAGCAGGGGAUCUUCGGACCUUGCGCUAAUAGAUGAGCCUAAGUCGGAUUAGCUAGUUGGUGGGGUAAAGGCCUACCAAGGCGACGAUCUGUAGCGGGUCUGAGAGGAUGAUCCGCCACACUGGGACUGAGACACGGCCCAGACUCCUACGGGAGGCAGCAGUGGGGAAUAUUGGACAAUGGGCGGAAGCCUGAUCCAGCCAUGCCGCGUGUGUGAAGAAGGCCUUUUGGUUGUAAAGCACUUUAAGCGAGGAGGAGGCUCUUAAGGUUAAUACCCUUGAUGAGUGGGCGUUACUCGCAGAAUAAGCACCGGCUAACUCUGUGCCAGCCACCGCGGUAAAAC
rnacentral:rRNA from 1 species